GCCUUGUUGUUCAAUUGUUAGAGGUUGAGCUAGAUGACCAACGGUGUGAUGACCGUUAUACCCCAAGUCUAGGUUGUCUAUAAAUAAGACCCUCAUGCCAUGCUAAUAACCUUCAUUAAAUUCCAAAGCAAUUCUAAGAGAGCAUAGUAAGAUCACAUAUAUUUGAGAGGUAGAAAAUCAAGUCUUGCUUAUUCAAGAUAAUCGUAAAGCUUGCAACUCCAAUAGGUAAUUUAUGACUUGUCGUAGUCCUAUUAGUUAAUCGUUCUUAUGUUCGAAAUCAUGUAAUAUUGCAUGCUAAACACAAUUCGUAUGUUAAUAAGUAGCAAGUCAUAUAUUCAUGAUAAGCUAGCUUAAGUAAAUGUCUAAUAAGGAAAGUAAAACAUGAUUAUGCAUGUUAGUAUGUUUAUGUUGUAAAACUUGAUAAAACUAGCUACUAAAUUGCUUCAUUAGACAAACUAAUUAAAUGAGAUAAAACAUGAUAUGUAUGUUAACAUUAAAAUCAAACAUAAUAAGUAAUAAAGUAUUGAAAUAAAAUUCAUACUCAAGAUUAAUUAAGUAAUAUGAGUAAAGUCAUGUUUAUAACUAAUUGUAUGUUGGCCUAAUGAAUAAUAUAGGCCAUACGAAAGAUGAAAAAUUAGCGUAAACAUAGAAGAUGCUAUCAAGCCAGUUUUUUCAUCAUUCGAUUUAUGUACUUACGCAAAGUGCAACGAUGUGUUUUAAAUUGUUGAAUUUCAUUUAAUUCUUUCUUUGAAUUAUGAAGUUCAUUAUAUAUUGUGAAAUGAUUUAUUGAGAAGAGUUAUUUGCCAUUUGAUUUGGCUUAACUCGAGUAUUGAGCUAUUCCUUUCGGAAUAAUUAUUGAUGUGAUAUUGAAUUGUUAUAAUUCUUUAUUUGAGUUGAGUUUAUUGUUGGUGAAUGUUAUAGAAGAUGAUGUUUAGUUAGCACCAGAUCUGCUGUGGAAAGCACCCGGAUUUGGGGGCGUGCCACAAUCCACCUUUCAUCUUAAUUAAUUAUACCAAAUAGCCUAAUUUAUUGUAAUAAAUAUUGGCCAACCUUUCAUCUUAAUUAAUUAUACCAAAUAGCCUAAUUUAUUGUAAUAAAUAUUGGCCAACCUUUCAUCUUAAUUAAUUAUACCAAAUAGCCUAAUUUAUUGUAAUAAAUAUUGGCCAACCUUUCAUCUUAAUUAAUUAUACCAAAUAGCCUAAUUUAUUGUAAUAAAUAUUGGCCAUUGGUUGUUAAUCCAGAUGUUAAUUUUGACAUGAAAUUGUAGUAUCAUUUCCAAGAAUAAGCUUAUGUAGUAAUAUGUACAAUUGUAAUUUAUUACUCCCUCCGUCCCAGGAUAAAAGUCGUGGUGGACUUUUCACGCAUAUUAAGAAGAGGAAUGGAAUGACAAAAUUGUCCAUAAUAAUGUCAUUAAUUAUUUUCAAUGUAGGUGAGAGAGUGACUUUUUAGCUAUUCAAUUCAAAAUAUUCUCUCUCCAUACUUAUUAAAUAUGGAGAGAGAAUUAGAAUAAGAAAAGUAUGAGAUAUUUAAUGCUACGGGCAUAAUGGGAAAAAAUGUGUAAAAGUUUGGUUAUUAAAGGAAAGUGGACAUUUAACAUGGGACUACCCAAAAUAGUAAUACGGAUUUUUAUCAUGGGACGGAGGGAGUACUGACUUAUAUUACAGUGAAGUAGAGGAAGAGUUACAAAUAAAAUUUUCUCAGUCAUUGGUGAUAUUGCACGCAAAAUUGCAGUCAGUACAACACUAUAGCUUCAUUAUUAACAUUCAUUGAGUCAGAGGUGAGUCAAAAAUUUUGAUGGCAAUUUAAUUCUUUUCAACAUGUCAGAAACAUAAGCAUCACCUGCAAUAGUUUUUGAGAGCCAUUUGCAGCUACACUCCUCAGUAGGAGCAAAUGAUACCAAAAGUAGAUCACAUAAUUUGCUAAGUGAAUUGUGAGAGAAAAUUUAUUCAGAUUCAAUUAGUUCCCUGCUUUAACAACAAAUACUUACUUGGGUGCAUAAUCAAUUCAAGUAUUUUUACUAUUGGUUUACCAACUAAUGUGCAUGUACUUUGGAGGCAUUGAUGUUGGUUCAUGUUCAUCAUAACCUUUAGGUGUCAACACUUUCUAUUAAUUAAUGAGUUUCAUUUAUAUUCAGCUAAGGUACAUUUUGCUAUUCAAUUUUGCUAAAAUAUUCUGAAGAAUUCGAGGUUUAAAAUACCCACUUCUCGUAAAGCAUGGUUGUAUCAGCAGCUAUGUUCUAAAAAUCUCCGCCUAGGUCAGCCCGCCUAGCGCCCCCGCCUAGGCGUUAGGCUCCCCUUGGCGCCCCGCCUAGGCGCUAGGCUCCCCUGACGCUUCACCUAGGCUCAAGACGGCAAAAAAAUCCCUCCGCAGGGCCUAGGUGGGGUCUAGACGGAGAGAUUUUUUUAUAUUUUAAUAACUACCUAAACCAGAUCUUAAUAUAUUUAUUUUUCUAAUGAUUUACCAUAUUCAUAAUACAUGUUGUAACAUAUCAAAUCACAACAAGAAGUGAACAAUAUCAUGUCAAAAUGGAUAAUUUUAUUAUAGUUGUAAUUUUUUAAAUUUAUAACAACUUUAAAUUAUAUAAAUGACG
rnacentral:lncRNA from 1 species